rnacentral:rRNA from 1 species
AUUGAACGCUGGCGGCAGGCCUAACACAUGCAAGUCGAGCGGAGCGGCGGACGGGUGAGUAAGGCCUAGGAAUCUGCCUGGUUGUGGGGGAUAACGUCCGGAACCGGGCGCUAAUACCGCAUACUAUCAGAUGAGCCUAGGUCGGAUUAGCUAGUUGGUGGGGUAAAGGCCUACCAAGGCGACGAUCCGUAACUGGUCUGAGAGGAUGAUCAGUCAAACUGGAACUGAGACACUGGCCAUCAUCUUAUGUGAGGCACCAGGGGGGAAUAUUGCACAAUGGGCGGAAGCCUGAUCCACGCAUGCCGCGUAUGAGAAGAAGGGAUUCGGAUUCUAAAGCACUAUAUGUUGGGAGACGUUUCCCACAGCAUUCGCACCAGCUAACUCCGUGCCAGCCGCCGCGGUAAUAC